AUUGAACGCUGGCGGCAUGCCUUACACAUGCAAGUCGAACGGCAGCACGGGUGCUUGCACCUGGUGGCGAGUGGCGAACGGGUGAGUAAUACAUCGGAACAUGUCCUGUAGUGGGGGAUAGCCCGGCGAAAGCCGGAUUAAUACCGCAUACGAUCUACGGAUGAAAGCGGGGGACCUUCGGGCCUCGCGCUAUAGGGUUGGCCGAUGGCUGAUUAGCUAGUUGGUGGGGUAAAGGCCUACCAAGGCGACGAUCAGUAGCUGAUCUGAGAGGGCGACCAGCAAAGCUGGAACUGAGAGAAGGGCGAGAGUACUACGGGAGGCAGCAGUAGGGAAUCUUGGGCAAUGGGCGAAAUGCUGAAGGAGCAACGCAGCGUGAGUGAUGAAGGUCUUCGGAUCGUAAAACUGUGUUAUUAGGGAAGAAAAAAUGUGUAAGUAGCUAUGAACGUAUUGAAGGUACCUAAUAAGAAAGCCACGGCGAACAAGGGG
rnacentral:rRNA from 1 species